UGGGGAAUAUUGCACAAUGGGCGCAAGCCUGAUGCAGCGACGCCGCGUGAGGGAUGGAGGCCUUCGGGUUGUAAACCUCUUUCGCCAGUGAAGCAGGCCUGCUCCUUGUGGGUGGGUUGACGGUAGCUGGAUAAGAAGCGCCGGCUAACUACGUGCCAGCAGCCGCGGUAAUACGUAGGGCGCGAGCGUUGUCCGGAAUUAUUGGGCGUAAAGAGCUCGUAGGCGGCUGGUCGCGUCUGUCGUGAAAUCCUCUGGCUUAACUGGGGGCUUGCGGUGGGUACGGGCCGGCUUGAGUGCGGUAGGGGAGACUGGAACUCCUGGUGUAGCGGUGGAAUGCGCAGAUAUCAGGAAGAACACCGGUGGCGAAGGCGGGUCUCUGGGCCGUUACUGACGCUGAGGAGCGAAAGCGUGGGGAGCGAACAGGAUUAGAUACCCUGGUAGUCCACGCCGUAAACGUUGGGCACUAGGUGUGGGGGGCCUUUUCCGGGUCUUCCGCGCCGUAGCUAACGCA
rnacentral:rRNA from 1 species